GAUGAACGCUAGCGGCAGGCCUAACACAUGCAAGUCGAGGGGCAGCACGUCUUCGGAUGGUGGCGACCGGCGCACGGGUGCGUAACGCGUAUGCAACCUACCUCUUACAGUGGGAUAGCCCAGGAGAAAUUUGGAUUAAUACCGCAUAGUAUACAGAUUCAGCAUUGGGGACUGUAUUAAACAUUUAUGGGUAAGAGAUGGGCAUGCGUUCUAUUAGUUAGUUGGAGUGGUAACGGCACCCCAGACAGCGAUAGAUAGGGCCCUGAGAGGGGGAUCCCCCACACUGGUACUGAGACACGGACAGACUCCUACGGGAGCAGCAGUGAGGAAU
rnacentral:rRNA from 1 species